GAUGAACGCUGGCGGCGUGCCUAAUACAUGCAAGUCGAGCGAACAGAUGAGGAGCUUGCUCGUCUGACGUUAGCGGCGGACGGGUGAGUAACACGUGGAUAACCUACCUAUAAGACUGGGAUAACUUCGGGAAACCGGAGCUAAUACCGGAUAAUAUAUUGAACCGCAUGGUUCAAUAGUGAAAGACGGUUUUGCUGUCACUUAUAGAUGGAUCCGCGCCGCAUUAGCUAGUUGGUAAGGUAACGGCUUACCAAGGCAACGAUGCGUAGCCGACCUGAGAGGGUGAUCGGCCACACUGGAACUGAGACACGGUCCAGACUCCUACGGGAGGCAGCAGUAGGGAAUCUUCCGCAAUGGGCGAAAGCCUGACGGAGCAACGCCGCGUGAGUGAUGAAGGUCUUCGGAUCGUAAAACUCUGUUAUUGGGGAAGAACAAAUGUGUAAGUAACUAUGCACGUCUUGACGGUACCUAAUCAGAAAGCCACGGCUAACUACGUG
rnacentral:rRNA from 1 species